CAGGGGUGCAAAGGCAUUCCAGCUCCCUAUACAGCCUUUGCCAUGGUCACCCCAACCCUAGAUAAUAAAGAUGGACUUCUUUCAGGACACAGAGUUGAUAAGGCUGGAGACAAUCAAUAGAGAAAUGCAGGAGGCACAGGAGCCAAGAUGAGCAGUGUCGUCUAUCAGUGGUGAAGUCCCAGGCCUGGGCCAGCCUGUAACAAGUCUCCAUGGGAAAUGGACAGGUCUUUGACUAGGGUUUGAGCUUAAGAAAGGAGACCCAGGAGAAUGAAGGGCAGGGGAAAGAACAUAGGGACUGGGGUCCUUCUCUUUUCAACGUUCUGUCCCAAUCAGCAUUGCAGGUGGAAUCCUAACUCCUCUCAUCCUUUCCACAGUCAGUAAGGAGCUCUAGCCUCCCGCCGCUCCUCCUUGGCUGAAGAGAUUUCCCGUGACUGUGUGUGAGAUGUGCUUUGGGUCUACCGUUCUUGGAUUGAUCUCACAUUGACGAGCCGGGAUCACAAGUGUGCCUAGCGCCUGGGAGACUGUUUAAACCAUCCACCAACCGGUGCUUGUUGACUUUAUUUAUGUUCCCACAAAUGCCAGUCAAGGACACCUUUGACAAAGAACAGACUGCACCUCAAGGGCCCCACGUCUCCCUUCCCGCACCUUCCUAUCUGUAUAGUCUGAAGAACUCUGGUUAAUUUUGAUGUAUUUUCCCUCAAUUAUUCAUCUCUGCUUGGGGUAUUUGAACACCUGCUUUCAGCGUUUAUUUUCUUCGGAUACAUUGGUUAUGUUUGAGAAGAGAUACUAUACCUGUGCCCACUUGAAGCUCAGAAAUACCUGCCGGACUGUCUGGACAGACACAGAGAACAGCUGGAGUUCUUAAACAAGGCCAAGAAAGAACUUGAGGCCAAGACUCACGGCAGGAGGUAGCAUUUGACCUGUAGUUGCCCCCUUUCUCUCCCGGGUGAUGCUCUUGUUUCUGUAGGACCAGCAGUUAGCCUGGAGACGGCAGAUUCUGAAGAAACGUUGUGUCACUAUUGACUGAGCAACUCUUGGCAAGUCAUAGAAGGCUUGUCUCUGCUUGGGAGUGUGCCUGGCGGUGGUGGGUCAUGGGAGAUGAGGUUUGCCUCAAGGGAGGCGGUGAGAAGCAAGACUAUUAGAUAAACACAUUAAAAACAGGGUGCAUGAUUUAGAGUGUCCAGUGGAACCACAAACAAAAAAUGGAACUUGCUAAUGUAGGAGGAACACAUGGUUAUCACCCUUAAGCGAGGCGGUAAGGAAGAGGGGAUCUUUGCAGUUUAGUCUGGUCUUUGCCUAGGGUGUUCUUGACGGACAUGCAUGAGAAAAUUAUCACAGACUCGAAACAGGACCGACAGGGUUGGGGGGCAAUGAUGACAAGAUGGAAUAGU
rnacentral:sRNA from 1 species